AGCUCAGACACGUCUAUUCCACUGCUGGUCCUCCUCCUACUGGAGUGGAAAGUACUCACACAAUGUCGGUCCUCUUCGAAGGGCGGCUCUUGGCCCUUAAAGCUUGGACAGGCUUGGAAUCACAGUACCCAAAAGAUCAUCUCUACCUAUGUGAACCUGCCCAGUCUUGAAUGCUGACAUGAUAUCAAGAGUGAAGCCAGAAGGAACUUGGGACAGGUUUUGAAUUCAGAAAUCUCCAGGCCCACUUCAACCACUACAUCGCAUUGAUUUAACUGACAAAAUAAAAAGACUAACAGUGCAAUCCAGUGGGCUGUGGAACAUGCAUGAUCCCAUGGUUGGCUUAAAUGCCGCUCUAUGCAGUGCUAGUGGCAUCUACACGGGGGGGGGGGGGGGGGGGGGGGUUUGCAGCAGCACCAGGUUGCAUGAGGGACUUUCAGCUUGGUUGGUAAGUUUUCCUCUUUCUUUGCUCUCUAUGCCCCUACAAACCUCUUUGGAGGCAGCAGACCUGCGCUAUGGCCGGCCAUCACUUAUCUACCCCACCCGCAGACUGGCUUAUUGGACAGCAAUCCUACUCAGGUUCUUCAGGAAAGUUCUUUCAGGAUUGUGCUGGAAAAUUCCUCUCCCAGACAUCCACUGAUUUUUUUGUGUUCUGCUUGGUCUGUUGUGUUGCGCUCUGCAAAGCAGUUCACUGAACAUUCGGGUGACCAUGCUUCCAUAUAACUGUAGUACCCCAUCGAUAUAAAAAACCGUAUACGUUUAGGCCAGGGAAGCAUGUUGUUGAAAUUAUACCAAGAAUGGAUAAGAGAAGACAUCACUUUAAUCUGAGGUCUACUGAAUCCCUUCAAAAUUGCCUGCUAAUAAAGGAAAAAAUUGUAUAAAUGUUUUACAUAAUGAAAUACAUAUGAAAAAUAAUAUUCA